rfam:Hordeum vulgare subsp. vulgare, WGS project CAJW01000000 data, contig: morex_contig_274531
CCGAUGGACGAUGACCAACUCAUCUCCCACAUCCUCACCGGCCUUGACAUGGAGUAUCAGCCGCUGGUCUCAGCGCUUGAUUCCCGCACCAUCCCGGUCAUGCUUGAUGAGCUUUUUUCUCAGAUGAGCAACUUUCAUU